GCUUGACAGAAGGCAAAAAUCCAAGUGUUGCGUGCGAGCGAUUACAGGAUAGCGUGAACAGUAUGGGGGUACUGUUCAUCUAUUUAUAGGCACAGGACGCAGCCCAUGGGGAAUUACAUUCAUGCCCUUUGCAAAGGUUUACAAUCAUAAUACAAAUUAUCAUGGGUCAGUUGGUCAUUUCAUCUUUAAGUCGGUGCAUUUGGAAAUAUGCUCUGAAGCCUUUUGAUUGAUAGCUUCGGCUUCGUGUCAACUUCCGAAGGUGUUUCUUCUUAUGAGACCUUCGGCGACGAAGCAGACCCCCAACACUAUAUAAUAGGAGUUCUGUACAAAAUAAAUAAUUAAUUACAUUAUAAGGAGACAACGGUCUAGCAACCCAAAGUUGACUGGGAGACGACGGCCUAGACCUCUCACGAACUCAUCACAACAUCCUCCAUGCCUCAUCCUGCGGUACCUGUUCUUGACCUAUGGGGGGUGUGAGACAGCAAGAGUGAGCUCAUAUACGUUCAUAGCUCAACAAGUUGUGGGGAAUAAUGUGCAUGAACUCGCCAAAGGUGGGAGCUCACGUGAAGUGUAAGGCUUACCAAAGAGGAUGGUUAGAGAUGAGCAUUGCUUUUAAAGUGGGUCAAAAUUUUAUUAGCAAUUACUAAGUGUAAGUAAAUACCAACCCAAUUAAGUAGUAGAACAAAAGUAAUAACAACACCUGCGAUGCAAUGCAUAUGACAAAUUGAAUUUAGUUCCAUAAAUUAAUCAUGUGAGGGUCCGAGCUGCUCAUGACCGUGAGCACGGUUGAUAUACCAGUUUUACACUCUGCAGAGUCUGCGCAUCUUUACCCACAAGUCAUGUUACCCAUCUGCCACGGGGUUGUACGGGCCCCAUACACCUCUACCAAGGAAGCGAGGCAGGGUAACACUACGGGGCCUUUACAAAGUUCCACUAGCUUCAGAAAACCCGCUACAGUUUAUAGGAAGCUCCAAUGCAGGGAUUUCUCGCCUGACCGCCAUCGCAGGAAAAUCAACCCAAGGACCUCCCUACACUGACCACUCCCCUACUGCCCUUGCCCCUUUCGGGUAAGGUAGUCCUCCACUAGCUUUCCUAGUUAAUCAGCCAAGGGCAUCCCAUACUACCCUUGUGGUAGCACUGUUUUCCCGGGUGGUCGCUCCAUGUUCCAAUUAACAUAAUGAUCUUAUCAUGAACAGUAAAUAACAACUGAUAACAAAAGUAUAAUCAUGAAAAAUGUUUAUCUCUAUACCCAAAUCUACAUAGAGCAAUAGCAGGUACUACCCAAAUAUUCAGUGGUGAACAAGGUAUAAAGAUAGUCAAACUAAGGUAACCUAUUGGGUCCCAUCAAAAUUAAUCUAUGCAGAUCAUUAUGAUUAAUUAGAACAUGACUGGGUAAAAAGAAGUGAUCAAGGGCAUAACUUGCUUGGGACUUGAGAUUCCAGGUACCAACUUGCUCUUCAGGUGACACGUGUCCUCA
rnacentral:lncRNA from 1 species